GAGGGCGUAGCUUAAAGUGGUAGAGCGCGUGCUUAGCAUGCACGAGGUCCUGGUUCAAUCCCCCGUACUUUCU
rnacentral:tRNA from 1 species